GACGAACGCUGGCGGCGUGCUUAACACAUGCAAGUCGAACGCUGAAGCUUGGUGCUUGCACUGGGUGGAUGAGUGGCGAACGGGUGAGUACUACGUGAGUACCCUGCCCUUGACUCUGGGAUAAGCCUGGGAAACUGGGUCCAAUACUGGAUACGACAUGUCACCGCAUGGUGGUGUGUGUAAAGGGUUUUACUGGUUUUGGAUGGGCUCACGGCCUAUCAGCUUGUUGGUGGGGUAAUGGCUCACCAAGGCGACGACGGGUAGCCGGCCUGAGAGGGUGACCGGCCACACUGGGACUGAGACACGGCCCAGACUCCUACGGGAGGCAGCAGUGGGGAAUAUUGCACAAUGGGCGGAAGCCUGAUGCAGCGACGCCGCGUGAGGGAUGACGGCCUUCGGGUUGUAAACCUCUUUCAGCACGGAAGAAGCGAAAGUGACGGUACGUGCAGAAGAAGCGCCGGCUAACUACGU
rnacentral:rRNA from 1 species